rnacentral:antisense_RNA from 1 species
CGUGGGAGCGGGCUUGCUCGCGAUCGCAUCGCCGCGAUGAAUCAGAUGCACCGCGUGUGUAGCAUCGCGAGCAAGCCCGCUCCCACA